AUGGCGUCGGCUGCAGGUGAGGGGAGGAGCCGGGUGCUGGUGAUAGGCGGCACCGGCUACAUCGGCCGCUUCAUCGUCGCCGCCAGCGCACGCGAGGGCCACCCCACCGCCGUCCUCGUCCGCGACGCCGCGCCCGCCGACCCAGCCAAGGCCGCCGUCCUCCAGGGAUUCCGGGAUGCCGGCGUCGCCAUCGUCGAGGGUGAUAUGUAUGAUCAUGAGAGCCUGGUGACAGCCAUUAAAUCAGCAGAUGUUGUGAUCUCGGCCGUGGGUUAUCAACAGCUACCGGAUCAAACUCUCAUUAUCUCGGCAAUUAAGGAAGUUGGGCAUGUAAAGAGAUUCUUCCCAUCAGAGUAUGGUAAUGAUGUGGAUCGUAACCAUGCAGUUGAACCUGCAAAGACAGUAUUCGGUGGGAAAGCUCGUAUAAGGCGUGCCAUUGAGGCUGAGGGAAUUCCCUACACAUAUGUCUCUUCCAACUUCUUUGCUGGUCGUUUCUUGCGAAGCCUUGCGCAGAUUGGGGUCACGGAGCCUCCAACUGAGAAGGUUCUCAUUAUGGGUGAUGGAAAUGUAAAAGGAGUCUUUACGGCGGAAGAAGACGUGGGAACCUACACUAUUAAAGCUGUAGAUGAUCCAAGGACCCUGAACAAAAUCCUGUAUCUGAGGCCACCAAGCAACACUUUGUCCCAUAACGAGCUUGUCUCACUCUGGGAGAAGAAACUUGGUAAGACACUUGAGAGGGUGUACCUCCCAGAAGACGAACUCCUGAAGAAGAUUCAAGGGCCGCUGAGUGUACCACUGGCAAUCAGCCACUCUGUCUGGUUGAAGGGGGACCACACUAACUUUGAGAUCGACCCAUCAUUUGGAGUUGAAGCCACUCAGCUUUACCCUGAUGUGCCUUACAUUACCGUGGAUGAAUACCUAAAUAGGUUCCUUUAA
rnacentral:rRNA from 1 species